rnacentral:rRNA from 1 species
CUUACCGGGUCCGGACACACUGAGGAUUGACAGGUAUUAUAUAGCGCGCUUGCGCGUCUAUUGUUAAAUAUGCUAGUCCUUUCAUGAUUAUGUGAUAGGUGGUGCAUGGCCGUUCUUAGUUCGUGGAGUGAUCUGUCUGCUUAAUUGCGUUUCAGAUAAGGAUCUAUAUUCUUUACAGAAGUGUUGCGUUGUGCAUUUGACCCCUCGUUCGCGAGUGCGUGUCUUUUCGCGCUCGCACGCUUUUUACAUUAGGUCCUGAAAGCAACGAACGUGACCGCAACCUCUUGUUGCCUCAUCUCCCUACUUUUUAGCACUUCGGUGUUAAUAAUUUCAUUGAGGCUUUCCAAAACUAGAGGGACCGCUGUCAACUUCUUAAACCAGAGGAAGGUUGCGGCAAUAACAGGUCUGUGAUGCCCUUAGAUGUUCCGGGCUGCACACGUGCUACAAUGAUUGUUGCAGUGAGCAUCUCAAUUUUUUACCUAACACCGCACACGUGAG